GUCCUUUACACAAUCAUUCCAGGGAUUAUUUGGUCCGUACAUGUGAAAACUUUCCUCUCAAAGAAAGUGGGAAUGGCUUUCUUUUUCACGUAUUUCUAUUUUUGUUUCUGGGUGAGUAAUCCGACAGUUGUUGUCCAGGUCAAGUAGUUGAAGACUGGAAGCAACAAUGGAUAUCUAAAGCUGACUUGAUAGUUGAUAGUCUCCUAAGCAUUUCAAUUGUUCUGUCUUUUUAUCUCUUCUGGCCUAUUUCCCAGCAAUCAUGAUUGAAACUACCAUUGUGAGCGGGAUCACUAAUAGGGAAGAUUUCUUCUCCUGCAUAUAAAGAAAUUUGUAAUGUGGUAGGUGUAUAUAAAGGCCUACUGUUACUUGAGAUGUAUUACUCAGUUAGCUAGAGUAGUUGUAUAGUCAGUUAGAUGUUAGAAGUAACUAGAAGGUCUUGACUCUUGUAUGUAACUGGUAACUUAGAAGACUGGUAAAUUAAGUAGCUUAGCAAAGUAGAUACUAUAAGUAGAAUACUGUUCAUUCUUGUAAUCAGUUAGAAUGCUCAUUUUUGACAUGAUCAAUUUUCAGAGUGCAAAUUUUCUCUCACCUCUGUUUCCUUUCUUCAUCCCUCUUCUCUUCUCUUCACACCUGAACUCACACGAUAGAGAUGAUGAGAGUGCUUUACCUUCAACGAUAGCUCUUCCACACCUGCAACACUUGAAUGAAACCCUGUCAUACAUCCAAGCUGUGCUGUCUGAUAUUAAGCAAUUAAUUAUCAGAAUCAUCGCUUCUUCCAAGGGGGGUGCUUCUCCCCAGGGGGCUGCUUCUGCCAGCCAACUGAAUCUAAAUGCUCUAGAAAUGGAACAAUUGACAAAUCUGCUAAGAAUUAAACUUAGCGAUCAGAAGUUCCUACUGGUCUUAGAUGAUGUAUGGAACGAGGAUCGUGGUAAAUGGGUUGAUUCAAGUGGGUGCUGAAGGAAGUAAGAUCCUAGUGACAACACGUAGUUAUGCAAUUGCUUCCAUGAUGGAUUCCAUUUACUCUCACAAUUUGAAGGGUCUUCCUCUGGAGGAUUUAUUUUCUGUAUUGUCAAGAAACGUGGAGGAGCUCCUUUGGCGGCAAGGACGAUGGGCACCUUACUCUUUCAAAAAUUUGAGUAAAGGGAACAUCAAGCCAGAAAGGAAUUCUGGAACUGUCAGAUAUACAUCCGGAUAAAAACUCCAUCUCCAAGUUAAAAUUUCUUUCUCUUUAGUGUUUGCCACUGGUGCUGACCUUACCUGGUUGGAUUCAUGGAGCUGCAAGCACGUUACAGUACUUGAGGGUUAAAGAUUGCAAGAUGCUGGAAGAACUUCCUGAGUGGUUACCACGUAUGAAUGUCCUGAAAUCUCUUUGCAUCAUAAAUGCUCCAAAAUUGAUGUCUCUUCCUAAUAAUGAUGAUCGCCUCACAGUCCUUGAAUCUCUGGAUAUGAUAGGUUGUCCUAGCUUAUAUGAAAAAUAUAAUCCACAAGAUGGAGAGGAUUGGCACAAGAUAUCUCGCAUUUCACAUGUGCAUUUUCAUUGUUGAUCUUCAAGAUCUGGAGAUUACUUGAUGGAAGUGGACAGUUAUUGUUUCUGAAUGUAAUUGAUUAUUCUCCUAGGUUAGGCAAAGUUUUCUCUUAGGUAUUAUUUUCUAUUAAUUGUAUAUAACAUUGAUAAUGAUACUCCUCCGGUGCAAAAGUAGUGGUAUAUGAUUUGUAGUGCAUUGGAUGCUGUUAAUGUUGCAAGUGUGAAGAGUGCAUGAAGUUAGUCUCACAUCAAAGAAAGUAAGAAAAAGUGAGAAGUUUAUAAGAUGAGAGACCCAUUAAUUUGACAUUUUAAGGUUUUGAGUUGAAUGUAGCAUCUUCUUAUUUUAUUUACACACAAAAUUACCAUCC